CCGGUGCGCCCCCGGCGGCCCAUGAAAAUCCGGAGGACCGAGUACCGUUCACGCCCGGUCGUACUCAUAACCGCAUCAGGUCUCCAAGGUGAACAACCUCUGGCCAAUGGAACAAUGUAGGCAAGGGAAGUCGGCAAAACGGAUCCGUAACUUCGGGAAAAGGAUUGGCUCUGAGGACUGGGCUCGGGGGUCCCGGCCCCGAACCCGUCGGCUG
rnacentral:ncRNA from 1 species